rnacentral:tRNA from 1 species
GCGAGAGUGGCGGAACUGGUAGACGCGCUGGGUUUAGGUUCCAGUGGUUACGGCCGUGGGGGUUCGAGUCCCCCCUCUCGCA